rnacentral:lncRNA from 1 species
AUGGCCAGGACUGAAGUCCCCAGGAACGGCAGGUGGAAAGAUCUGGAAGGGAAUUUUCACUCCCUUGCGAACAAAAGGGAUGGAGUAAAGAGUCCAACAAUGGAUUUGGGACAAGACCCCAGGGGACCUCUGAGGCCAUGGAUCUAUGAAGAAAUAAGACACAAACAGGCGGGAAGUUUCUAAAAGGAAAGCUAAAGGGAGAGUCCCAGGCUUUGGCGAACAUGUUGGAAAUUCUUUGCGCUUCUUACCGAGGUCAGCAGGGUGACUGGGCAGGAGAAGGUAAUACUUCAAAGAGGAGCAAUUUCCUUGUGAAUAUCCAAGAAACACUGACCAAAGCACUGUGGGAAUAAAGAAAAAUGAUAAACGAUUGAAAGUCCUAAAGGGCACACAGAGAUGUGCACUUUUCCAACUGGAGAAGAAUGCUGAUUGCAAAAGUACCUGAUGAGAGAGUUCCUGGAAAUUCUCUUCCUGUUCCAGAAGGUAGGACAACUCAUGAAUUCCAAAGGAGCAACUCCCCGUGAGUCAGGGCACAGACACCUGGCGAUAGAUGUCUGCUUUUCUGCCAAGCUUCUCUUCACCCUGGCUUAUUCUUCUCUGGAGAGCUUUACUUCCUGAUCUCAGGAGGAGAAACGUAAAACCAGGGGAGUCAAACGCAGGAUCCUGUUGUCCUAGCCCCAGAGAAUAGACAUUGAUGCACUUAUGGCUGUAGCAUAAGUGACCAGAAGUAUUCCCCAGGAUUUUUCUACCAGCAUAUAGACAAAAGUGUCCAAGGAUGACAAACAGAUCUGCCAGCCACCAUGCCUCCAGUCUCCUAGUCAGCCCACCUGGAAGGAACAAAGCUAAUACUCAGUCAGCUAUUGCUGCGUAACAAGUCACCCCAACAUGUAGUGGCUUACAGCAAGGGCAUAUUCAUCUUUCCUUCUUCAUUCUGUGGUUGAGGGGCAGAUCUUCUGCUGGUCUUCCUUUGGCUCCACAUGCAGCUGCUAAGUACCCAGGCCCCAAGCACAUGAGUUUAUUGAGCAUCUGUCAUGUCGUUGAUGCAUGAUUGGCCGCAGAGAGUCACAUGGCCACGCCCAGAACCAGACUAAAAGUGAACACCAGGAGGCAUGAUGAAUCAGGAUCCAUCGUUGUGACCAUUGAUCACAGCAAAGUUCAGAUGCUCCUGGUGGCAUCAAAGUUUAUGGUUUAUGGGGUCCCUGGUUUGUGUCCCCCCUCAUGGAAGAUCCCUUAUUGAUGAAGAUGACCAGACACCAGAGAUUACUCUCAUCCCAUAAUGCAGAGAAAUAUUUCUAGCCAGGAAGAUAUGGGAGAGAGAAUACCUUGUUUAUUCAAUCUGCAGUAAGUGUUACUGAGAACCUAUCAAAACCUUAUCUAGAAUAAAAAGAAAGAUUAUGCACCCUAUCAGUAUUCAAGUA